AACGAACGCUGGCGGCAUGCCUAACACAUGCAAGUCGAACGAGACCUUCGGGUCUAGUGGCGCACGGGUGCGUAACGCGUGGGAACCUGCCCUUAGGUUCGGAAUAACUCCCCGAAAGGGGUGCUAAUACCGGAUAAUGUCUUCGGACCAAAGAUUUAUCGCCUUUGGAUGUGCCCGCGUUGGAUUAGCUGGUUGGUAGGGUAAAAGCCUACCAAGGCGACGAUCCAUAGCUGGUCUGAGAGGAUGAUCAGCCACACUGGGACUGAGACACGGCCCAGACUCCUACGGGAGGUAGCAGUGGGGAAUAUUGGACAAUGGGCGAAAGCAUGAUCCAGCAAUGCCGCGUGAGUGAUGAAGGCCGUAGGGUUGUAAAGCUCUUGUACCCGGGAUGAUAAUGACAGUACCGGGAGAAUAAGCUACGGCUAACUCCGUG
rnacentral:rRNA from 1 species